UACGGAGGGUGCAAGCGUUGUUCGGAAUCAUUGGGCGUAAAGAGCGUGUAGGCGGCCAAUUAAGUCUGAUGUGAAAGCCCGGGGCUUAACCCCGGAAGUGCAUUGGAUACUGGUUGGCUAGAGGACGAGAGGGGAAGGCGGAAUUCCUGGUGUAGGGGUGAAAUCCGUAGAUAUCAGGAGGAACACCGGAGGCGAAGGCGGCUUUCUGGCUCGUAACUGACGCUGAGACGCGAAAGCGUGGGGAGCAAACAGG
rnacentral:rRNA from 1 species